rnacentral:rRNA from 1 species
UACGGAGGGGACUAGCGUUAUUCGGAAUUACUGGGCGUAAAGCGCACGUAGGCGGCUUUGUAAGUUAGAGGUGAAAGCCUGGAGCUCAACUCCAGAACUGCCUUUAAGACUGCAUCGCUUGAAUCCAGGAGAGGUGAGUGGAAUUCCGAGUGUAGAGGUGAAAUUCGUAGAUAUUCGGAAGAACACCAGUGGCGAAGGCGGCUCACUGGACUGGUAUUGACGCUGAGGUGCGAAAGCGUGGGGAGCAAACAGG